rnacentral:rRNA from 1 species
UACGGGGGGGCAAGCGUUGUUCGGAAUUACUGGGCGUAAAGGGCUCGUAGGCGGCCAACUAAGUCAGACGUGAAAUCCCUCGGCUUAACCGGGGAACUGCGUCUGAUACUGGAUGGCUUGAGUUUGGGAGAGGGAUGCGGAAUUCCAGGUGUAGCGGUGAAAUGCGUAGAUAUCAGGAGGAACACCUAUUGCGAAGGCAGCUCGCUGGGACGUAACUGACGCUGAGACGCGAAAGCGUGGGGAGCAAACAGG